UGGAGGGCUCCUUGCAGUCGAGCGGAUGACGGGAGCUUGCUCCUUGAUUCGCGGCGGACGGGUGCCCUUUGCCUAGGAAUCUGCCUGGUAGUGGGGGACAACGUUCCGAAAGGAGCGCUAAUACCGCAUACGUCCUACGGGAGAAAGUGGGGGAUCUUCGGACCUCACGCUAUCAGAUGAGCCUAGGUUCGGAUUAGCUAGUUGGUGAGGUAAAGGCUCACCAAGGCGACGAUCCGUAACUGGUCUGAGAGGAUGAUCAGUCACACUGGAACUGAGACACGGUCCAGACUCCUACGGGAGGCAGCAGUGGGGAAUAUUGGACAAUGGGCGAAAGCCUGAUCCAGCCGUGCCGCGUGUGUGAAGAAGGUCUUCGGAUUGUAAAGCACUUUACCUUGUGAGGAAGGGCAGUAAGUUAAUACCUUGCUGUUUUGACGUUACCGACUGAAUAAGCACCGGCUACCUCUGUGCCAGCAGUCGUGGUAAUACAGAGGGUGCAAGCGUCUCUCGGAAUUACUGGAAAUAAAUCCCCCGUAGGUGGUUCGUGACCUCUGCAUGUCAAAGCCUCUGGGUUCUUCUGGCGAACUGCCUCCACAACUGGGGAGCUAGAUUAUGGUAGAGGGUCGCGGAAUUUACUGCCUACCGCCGAAUUGCCUUUUAUUAUUGAUGGACCACUAGCUGUUGAUAGCUAAUUUUUUGUCCUCGGACCUGCCACUGUAUGCUCGAAACUACGUCUGAGCCAAUGCCGCUUAGACGCCCCUGGUUUCUUCCGCCCUCUACUCAUUUCUCCUCCCUCUAUUUGAA
rnacentral:rRNA from 1 species